AUAUUCCUGUACCACUACCACCGUUAUUAUCGAGGGUGUGACGGAGAAGGAUAGUGUGUGCUAGCGAUUGGAAAUGCUAGUCUAAGCGUUUAGGCAGUUACGGUAGGCAAAUCCGCUGUAACGUUAAUGCUGAGGCGUGAUGGGGAAGGCCCUUGAGGCUGAAGUACAUGAUUCCAUGCUUCCAAGAAAAGCAUCUAGAGAGAGAAGUAGUGCCCGUACCGCAAACCGACACAGGUAGAUGAGGAGAGAAUCCUAAGGCCGGCGGAAGAAUUGCAGUUAAGGAACUAGGCAAAUUGACCCCGUAAGUUAGCGAGAAGGGGUGCCUGCGAGAGCAGGCCGCAGAGAAUAGGCCCAAGCAACUGUUUAACAAAAACACAGGUCUCUGCUAAAGCGCAAGCUGAUGUAUAGGGGCUGACGCCUGCCCGGUGCUGGAAGGUUAAGGGGAACACUUAGCGCAAGCGAAGGUGUGAACUUAAGCCCCAGUAAACGGCGGCCGUAACAAUAACGGUCCUAAGGUAGCGAAAUUCCUUGUCAGGUAAGUUCUGACCCGCACGAAUGGCGUAAUGACUUGGGCACUGUCUCAACUGCAAAUCCGGCGAAGUUGUAGUGCGAGUGAAGAUGCUCGCUACCCGCGAUUGGACGGAAAGACCCCGUAGAGCUUUACUGUAGCUUAGCAUUGAAUUCCGGUAUUGUCUGUACAGGAUAGGUGGGAGACUGGGAAACUAGGGCGUCAGCCUUGGUGGAGUCGUCCUUGGGAUACCACCCUCACAGUACUGGGGUUCUAACAGGACACCAUGAAUCUGGUGACUGGACAUUGUUAGGUGGGCAGUUUGACUGGGGCGGUCGCCUCCUAAAAAGUAACGGAGGCGCCCAAAGGUUCCCUCAGAACGGUCGGAAAUCGUUCGUAGAGUGCAAAGGCAGAAGGGAGCCUGACUGCGAGACCUACAAGUCGAGCAGGGACGAAAGUCGGGCUUAGUGAUCCGGUGGUACCUCGUGGGAGGGCCAUCGCUCAACGGAUAAAAGCUACCUCGGGGAUAACAGGCUGAUCUCCCCCAAGAGUCCACAUCGACGGGGAGGUUUGGCACCUCGAUGUCGGCUCGUCGCAUCCUGGGGCUGUAGUAGGUCCCAAGGGUUGGGCUGUUCGCCCAUUAAAGCGGCACGCGAGCUGGGUUCAGAACGUCGUGAGACAGUUCGGUCCCUAUCCGUCGCGGGCGUAGGAAAUUUGAGAGGAGCUGUCCUUAGUACGAGAGGACCGGGAUGGACUGACCUCUGGUGCACCAGUUGUUCUGCCAAGAGCAUGGCUGGGUAGCUAAGUCGGGAAGGGAUAAACGCUGAAAGCAUCUAAGCGUGAAGCCUCCCUCAAGAUGAGAUUUCCCAUAGCAUAAGCUAAUAAGACCCCUUGAAGAACACGAGGUUAAUAGGUCAGAGGUGUAAGUGUGGUAACAUAUUUAGCUGACUGAUACUAAUAGGUCGAGGGCUUGACCU
rnacentral:rRNA from 1 species